ACACGACUCACGUAUCUCUCACCUCGGUCAGCAGCAGUUUUGAGAAAUCACAGAAACAACAGUUCAAAUCACACAAAAAUGACAGACGACAGCGCAUUCAAGUGGUCAGAUGAACACACUGAAAUGCUUGUUCGGUGGAGGACAGAAAACGACAGUCUCUUCACUGGCAAGAGAAAUGCGGCUAUAAAAGGGUUUGAGAUGUUUGUUGCAGCAAAAGAUCUGCAGUGAAAGGUGCAGCCUGCUUGGGUAAAAAAAAAAUGGGAGAACCUCAAACAGAAGUACAAGAGCUGGAAUACAGUGGAGAGGGGCAGAAACUGCUGCAGCCAGGAGAUCCCUUACACCCUCACCAGGCUCCAGAGCCCCGGAUCCUGGCUCUGGGCCAUCGUCUCCUGCUUCGUCCUCCUCAGGCUCCAUCAUGUCUCCGUUGUCCACACACAGGUUAUGCAGGAUGGUGCAGCAGGUGAUGACAACUGGGGCAAAGGUGGGGCUCACUUCCAGGGAUUUAAAGAAAAUUGAGCGCCAUCGGGCCUUCAUCAUGCCAAAUGUGCGCUCGAUGAUGUUCCUGGCCCUGGACAGCAUGCUGUUGUACCUGGUCUGCACAGGAUUCAGGUUCGGUGCACGGUACAGUGUCAUUA